rnacentral:rRNA from 1 species
ACGGCCAGGACUACAGGGGUAUCUAAUCCCUUUCGCUCCCCUGGCUUUCGUCCAUGAGCGUCAGUAAUGGCCCAGCAGAGCGCCUUCGCCACUGGUGUUCUUCCCGAUAUCUACGCAUUUCACCGCUACACCGGGAAUUCCCUCUGCCCCUACCAUACUCAAGCCGAUCAGUUUCCACUGCCAUAAUGGAGUUAAGCUCCACGCUUUAACAGCAGACUUGAAGGGCCGCCUGCGGACGCUUUACGCCCAAUAAUUCCGGAUGACGCUUGCCACUCCCGUAUUACCGCGGCUGCUGGCACGGAAUUAGCCGUGGCUUAUUCCUCAAGUACCGUCAUAUCUUCUUCCUUGAGAAAAGAGGUUUACAGCCCAGAGGCCUUCGUCCCUCACGCGGCGUUGCUCCGUCAGGCUUUCGCCCAUUGCG